rnacentral:rRNA from 1 species
AUGAAGGAGGUGGUGCUCCACGUGUACGACGUGACCAACAGCGACUCCGAAAAGACCAACAACACCAUCCUCCAGAUCAACCGCAUCUUCAAGGACCGCAUCGGCCUCGGCGGCAUCUUCCACAGCGCCGUCCAGGUCCUCCACCCUGCGCCUCCCGCUCUCCCGGAUCCCGGCGACGCAUUCUGCCUGCGUGCUUACCCCCACCUCCUCCAGAUCCCCAAUUCUCAUUUCCCGAUGUGUCGCGUGCAGGUCUAUGGCGAGGAGGAGUGGUCGUUCGGGUUCUGCGAGAACGGCAGCGGGGUGUUCAGCUGCCCCGUGAGCAAGAACCCCAUGUACACAUACCGCGAGCGCAUCGUCCUCGGGGAGACGGAGUGCACCAUAGCCACCGUGAACAGGAUCCUGCGCGAGCUCAGCCGCGACUGGCCAGGGCACUCCUACGACCUCCUUUCCAGGAACUGCAACCACUUCUGCGACGUGCUCUGCGACAGGCUCGGCGUCCCCAAGCUUCCAGGCUGGGUUAAUCGUUUUGCCAAUGCCGGCGAUACAGCUGUGGUGGUUGCUGAGAAUACAGCAGUUAAGUUCAGGCAGGCUAAAACAGAAAUUGUCAAUGCUAGUAGAGUAGCAUAUAGAUUUAUGGCAGGCCUGACUUCGAAAAACCAGGCUUCACAAGAGUCUCCUGGUGAACAAAAUAGAGGCAGCCCUACUUUCCAAGGAACAUGGUUCAAGAAUGUUGUUUCAGCUGGCGCGAAGCCAUCUACAAGCGGGUCAACUCCCUCACAAGAAGCUGAUGAUGCACCUCCCUUGCAGCGCCAACAAUCAGCAGAGCAACCAAUAAGGUUGUAG